AAAUUGAAGAGUUUGAUCAUGGCUCAGAUUGAACGCUGGCGGCAGGCCUAACACAUGCAAGUCGAACGGUAACAGGAAACAGCUUGCUGUUUCGCUGACGAGUGGCGGACGGGUGAGUAAUGUCUGGGAAACUGCCUGAUGGAGGGGGAUAACUACUGGAAACGGUAGCUAAUACCGCAUAACGUCGCAAGACCAAAGAGGGGGACCCUCGGGCCUCUUGCCAUCGGAUGUGCCCAGAUGGGAUUAGCUUGUUGGUGGGGUAACGGCUCACCAAGGCGACGAUCCCUAGCUGGUCUGAGAGGAUGACCAGCCACACUGGAACUGAGACACGGUCCAGACUCCUACGGGAGGCAGCAGUGGGGAAUAUUGCACAAUGGGCGCAAGCCUGAUGCAGCCAUGCCGCGUGUAUGAAGAAGGCCUUCGGGUUGUAAAGUACUUUCAGCGGGGAGGAAGGGAGUAAAGUUAAUACCUUUGCUCAUUGACGUUACCCGCAGAAGAAGCACCGGCUAACUCCGUGCCAGCAGCCGCGGUAAUACGGAGGGUGCAAGCGUUAAUCGGAAUUACUGGGCGUAAAGCGCACGCAGGCGGUUUGUUAAGUCAGAUGUGAAAUCCCCGGGCUCAACCUGGGAACUGCAUCUGAUACUGGCAAGCUUGAGUCUCGUAGGGGGGGUAGAAUUCCAGGUGUAGCGGUGAAAUGCGUAGAGAUCUGGAGGAAUACCGGUGGCGAAGGCGGCCCCCUGGACGAAGACUGACGCUCAGGUGCGAAAGCGUGGGGAGCAAACAGGAUUAGAUACCCUGGUAGUCCACGCCGUAAACGAUGUCGACUUGGAGGUUGUGCCCUUGAGGCGUGGCUUCCGGAGCUAACGCGUUAAGUCGACCGCCUGGGGAGUACGGCCGCAAGGUUAAAACUCAAAUGAAUUGACGGGGGCCCGCACAAGCGGUGGAGCAUGUGGUUUAAUUCGAUGCAACGCGAAGAACCUUACCUGGUCUUGACAUCCACGGAAGUUUUCAGAGAUGAGAAUGUGCCUUCGGGAACCGUGAGACAGGUGCUGCAUGGCUGUCGUCAGCUCGUGUUGUGAAAUGUUGGGUUAAGUCCCGCAACGAGCGCAACCCUUAUCCUUUGUUGCCAGCGGUCCGGCCGGGAACUCAAAGGAGACUGCCAGUGAUAAACUGGAGGAAGGUGGGGAUGACGUCAAGUCAUCAUGGCCCUUACGACCAGGGCUACACACGUGCUACAAUGGCGCAUACAAAGAGAAGCGACCUCGCGAGAGCAAGCGGACCUCAUAAAGUGCGUCGUAGUCCGGAUUGGAGUCUGCAACUCGACUCCAUGAAGUCGGAAUCGCUAGUAAUCGUGGAUCAGAAUGCCACGGUGAAUACGUUCCCGGGCCUUGUACACACCGCCCGUCACACCAUGGGAGUGGGUUGCAAAAGAAGUAGGUAGCUUAACCUUCGGGAGGGCGCUUACCACUUUGUGAUUCAUGACUGGGGUGAAGUCGUAACAAGGUAACCGUAGGGGAACCUGCGGUUGGAUCACCUCCUUA
rnacentral:rRNA from 1 species